rnacentral:rRNA from 1 species
UACGUAGGGGGGCUAGCGUUGUCCGGAAUCAUUGGGCGUAAAGAGCGCGUAGGCGGCCAGAUAAGUCCGGUGUGAAAGUCAAAGGCUCAACCUUUGAAUGCCGCUGGAAACUGUCUGGCUAGAGUCCGGGGAGGGGCGAGUGGAAUUCCUGGUGUAGCGGUGAAAUGCGCAGAUAUCGGGAGGAACACCAGUAGCGAAGGCGGCUCGCUGGGCCAUUCCUGGACGCUGGAGACGCGAAAGCUAGGGGAGCGAACAGG